CUAACCCACAGUCUACAUUUUUCGUAGCCUCUUGAUAGAAAAUUUGCAGACUUUCUUUCCUUACCAAAUUAUACAAAUUGUAAAUGAUCUUGCCUAGUCUAAAGAAGUUUAGGUCAUAUUGGAAACAAUGAAGUUUAGGUCUAGGCUACCCUAGCCUACUUCAUGCCGGAAUGAAGAAGACAAUGAAGAAAGAACCUGCAGAGCAGCCUGCUGCUGCUUCCAAGAACAUCACUUCAUCUCAGCGUCUUAGAAAUAAUCACAUGCGUUAAUGGCCCUACUGGAUGGUGGUUGUCGCCAUGGUGACGGCUUCCUGGAUCUCGCGCACGAUGAGGAUCCGGGCCAGCAUCUGCUCCACCUGCUGGCGAGGGAUGGGCUGCGCCGAGUACCAGAUGGGGCUGUUGGGAGCCACCACGGGCUCGGGGGUCAGAUGGUGUGGGCCAGCCCCCUUCAGGUAGCGGAUGCUGGUGCUCUUGUCUUUAGGGUUGGACGGGUUUUUCUUGGUGUGUCGGAGCACUUUGGAGAAGGCCACCUUCAUAUGCUGAUCUACCGUCUUCAGCUGGAAAUACCUGAGGGAGAGGGAAGAACAUCAACUCAUCUCAACAAAUGUGGUCAAGGGUAACGGUGUUUUUGUUGAGGUUGUUAUUGUCAGAGUUGUGAAAGUCCAGCUUCAGAAAGUUAAAAGUCCGGUCGCAUAUUAGAAUCAGACAGUACAUGUAAGGACUUUGACUUUCUGAAGCUAGACUUUUACUCCUCUGGUUAUUGUUGAACAAGAAAAACUAGUGAGUAGUUGAGAGACAGAAUGUGAUCUCUGAGACAGUGAGUAGUUUCACAGUGAGCAGUUUAACCUUUCAUGUUUUGAUCUUAUGUAUAUAUGUAUGUAUGUAUGUAUAUGCCGAAUCCCCUUUACUUUGUUGAAUGAUGUUUGUGUUCCUUUCCAGUUGACUGCUUUUUUUGUUGUUGCUUUGGCAACACUGAGCCUAAAUGUCAUGCCAAUAAAGCUAUUUGAAUAUGAACGUAUGAAAGACAAAGU